rnacentral:rRNA from 1 species
UAAUACGUAGGUGGCAAGCGUUGUCCGGAUUUACUGGGCGUAAAGCGCGCGCAGGUGGAUGGAUCAGUCCGGGGUGAAACCUCACGGCUCAACUGUGAGUGGUCCCCGGAUACUAUCCGUCUCGAGGCGCCUAGAGGAGAGCGGAAUUCCCGGUGUAGUGGUGGAAUGCGUAGAUAUCGGGAAGAACACCAGUGGCGAAAGCGGCUCUCUGGGGGCGAUCUGACACUGAGGCGCGAAAGCGUGGGGAGCGAACCGGAUUAGAUACCCGGGUAGUCCACGCCGUAAACGAUGAGCACUAGCUGUCGGGGGUAUCGACCCCUCCGGUAGCGCAGCUAACGCGAUAAGUGCUCCGCCUGGGGACUACGGCCGCAAGGCUA